rnacentral:ncRNA from 1 species
AAAUCUCACUCAAUACAGCGGAUGGUUGAAAUGCCAUAUACGCCAAUGAAUACCGCAACAAUGGUGAUGGGGCAAAGUGUCCCCAUUCGUUGAGUGCGGAGCUUGCGCCGCUGUGUUGGGUUUAUCAUUGA